rnacentral:rRNA from 1 species
GGCGUGCUAUACAUGCAAGUCGAACGGAAACCUUCGGGUUUUAGUGGCGAACGGGUGAGUAACACGUAAGCAACCUACCCUAAAGACGAGGAUAACCAUUGGAAACAGUGGCUAAGACUGGAUAGGAAGAUAAAAGGCAUCUUGUAUCUUUUAAAAGACCUAGUUAAUAGGUAUGCUUUAGGAGGGGCUUGCGCCAUAUUAGUUAGUUGGUAGGGUAAUGGCCUACCAAGACGAUGAUGUGUAGCUGGACUGAGAGGUUGAACAGCCACAUUGGGACUGAGACACGGCCCAAACUCCUACGGGAGGCAGCAGUAGGGAAUUUUCGGCAAUGGAGGAAACUCUGACCGAGCAACGCCGCGUGAAUGACGAAGUACUUCGGUAUGUAAAGUUCUUUUAUCGAGGAAGAAAAGCAAAUGGCGAACCAUUUGUUUGCCGGUACUUGAUGAAUAAGCCCCGGCUAAUUAUGUGCCAGCAGCCGCGGUAAGACAUAAGGGGCAAGUGUUAUCCGGAAUUAUUGGGCGUAAAGGGUGCGUAGGCGGUCUAGUAAGUCAGUGGUGUAAUGGCAACGCUUAACGUUGUCCGGCUAUUGAAACUGCUAAACUUGAGUUAGAUAGAGGCGAGUGGAAUUCCAUGUGUAGCGGUAAAAUGCGUAAAUAUAUGGAGGAACACCAGAGGCGUAGGCGGCUCGCUGGGUCUUAACUGACGCUGAGGCACGAAAGCGUGGGGAGCAAACAGGAUUAGAUACCCUGGUAGUCCACGCCGUAAACGAUGAGUACUAAGUGUCGGGUUAAACCGGUACUGAAGUUAACACAUUAAGUACUCCGCCUGAGUAGUACGUACGCAAGUAUGAAACUUAAAGGAAUUGACGGGACUCCGCACAAGCGGUGGAUCAUGUUGUUUAAUUCGAAGAUACCCGAAAAACCUUACCAGGUCUUGACAUGUUUUUGCAAAAUGAUAGUAAUAUCGUGGAGGUUACCAGAAACACAGGUGGUGCAUGGUUGUCGUCAGCUCGUGUCGUGAGAUGUUAGGUUAAGUCCUAAAACGAGCGAAACCCUUAUCGUUAGUUGCCAGCACGUUAUGGUGGGGACUUUAACGAGACUGCCAAUGAUAAAUUGGAGGAAGGUGAGGAUCACGUCAAAUCAGCAUGCCCCUUAUGACCUGGGCUACAAACGUGAUACAAUGGCUGUUACAAAGGGUAGCUGAAACGCAAGUUCUUGGCCAAUCCCCAAAAACAGUCCCAGUCCGGAUUGAAGUCUGCAACUCGACUUCAUGAAGUUGGAAUCGCUAGUAAUCGCGAAUCAGCAUGUCGCGGUGAAUACGUUCUCGGGGUUUGUACACACCGCCCGUCAAACCACGAAAGUUGGCAAUACCCCAAAACGGUAGCCUAACUCGUUUAUUCGAGAGGGCGCCGUCUAAGGUAGGGUCGAUGAUUGGGGUUAAGUCGUAACAAGGUAUCCCUACCGGAAGGUGGGGAUGGAUCACCUCCUUUCUAAGGAAACCAAUAAAAUCAAUCAUCUUCAGUUUUGAAAGACUUAGGCAACUAAGUUUUUCUUCGUGACUUCACGAAGGGCCUAUAGCUCAGUUGGUUAGAGCACACGCCUGAUAAGCGUGAGGUCGGUGGUUCAAGUCCAUUUAGGCCCACCAGAGUUAUAGGUUUCGUAAGAACACAAAUUCUUUGAAAAUUAGGUAAAUAAUAGUUAUUUAUCCGGAACAUAAAGGAAAUAAGAGCGCAC